GCCGGCCCCAGUCCCCAUGGGCUGAAGGCAGGUUGAGUUCUUCCCCAGGUCUGCGAGCCUCGAAGGCUUCUUUCAGACAGCAGACCCCUUAGAAGCGCAAGGCUGCUUUCUGACAAAGAAUCAAGUGUUCCUUUCAACCAGCCAAGGGACUGGUUUUCUCGCUGACCCUUUGACAGCUCCAGCCGGUCCCUCCAUUCGAGGUCCCUGACUUCCUGCAACAGACUGAGAUGGCCUUCUGAGCUUUUCCAGGGCUGACGACCACCUUCUUGAUACCUUCCCCUCUCUCGUUCUGAAUCCGUGCCCACCAGACGGACUCUGGCUCUUGUUGCCCAGACUGGGGUGCAAUGGCGCAAUCUUGGCUCACCAUAACCUCCGCCUCCUGGGUUCAAGCGAUUCUCCUGCGUCAGCCUCCCAAGUAGGUGGGAUUACAGGCAUGCGCCACCUCGCCUGGCUAAUUUUGUAUUUUUAGUAGAGACCGGGUUUCUCCACGUUCAUCAGGCUGGUCUCAAAUUCCUUCACCUCCCAAAGUGCUGGGAUUACAGGUGUGAGCCACUGUGCACAGCCUAAUGCAGAUUUUAUAAACAAUAACCUUGUCCAUUAAAGCAAACCUGCAGACUCGAGGUCUGAUAAACCUGGAGGUUGGAUAAUUCAAGUGUAGCACAGUCAUGCCAUGGAAUAUUACACACCAGAGAAAAGAAGACACGACGCCAUUUUUAGAAAGCUCAAAACAAGUGAAACCAAACGAUAUCGUGUAUAGCAGGGGUCCUCAACCCCUGGACCACAGACUGGUACUGGCUAGUGGCCCAUUAGGAACCAGGCCGCACAGCAGGAGGUGAGUCGUGGGUGAGCAAGCGAAACUUCACCUGUAUUUACAACUGCUCCCCAUGGCUCACAGUACUGCCUGAGCUCCGCCUCCUGUCAGAUCAGCGGCAGCAUUAGAGUCUCAUAGGAGCACAAACCCUGCUGUGAACUAUGCAUGUGAGGGAUCUAGGUUGCACACUCCUUAUGAGAAUCUAAUGCCUGUCUCUUAUCACCCCCAGAUGGGGCCGUCUAGUUGCAGGAAAACAAGCUCAGGGCUCCCACUGAUUCUACAUGAUGGUGAGUUUCAUAAUUAUUUCAUUAUAUAUUAUAAGGCAAUAAGAAUAGAAAUAAAGUGCACAAUAAAUGUAAUGCGCUUGAAUCAGCCCAAAACCAUCCCCCCACCUCCCCCUACCCAUGGAAAAAUUGUCUUCCAUGAAACUGGUCCUUGGUGCCAAAAAGCUUGGAGACCUCUGGUGUAUAGGGUUACAUGUUGUACUCACCUUAUAAGAAGUGGCAGAAAGCAAGUUUAGUGAUAAAACUAGCUAAAAAACAAAGCAAGGGUAUAACAAACACAAAAAUCACAAUGUAGUUAACUCUGGGAUAGCCAAUAGUUUCCCUGGUGUUCAUCUUAUUAUUUUAUUAUGUAGGUGCCCCUUGAUUCUGGGUAUUUUUGUAUGUAUCAAAUAUUACAUAAUUAAAAGCCAGCCAAAGCCAGCUAUCAUGACUGCACUCUCAUUACUCACGCCCCGGGCCUGCAAGCUGUGGUGUGGUUUCCAGGUUCCCCGUGAGCAUCGCCGCAGCGACCGCCCACAGCACCAGCUGCUGAUGGCUCACACCUCCUGGGGCUGCAAGGCCUGUCCCUGGCUCUGGCAGCGAGAUGACAGGGCUGUUGCCCCGGCAGGGUGAGGCCAAAGGGAAUCCAGGCUUUCGGAGAUGAGGACUGGGAGGUCUCCAGACCACACAAGCCCCCUAUUUGCACUGGCCUUUGGAAUGAGCCUACAGCCUGCCUCCACUCCUCCUGGUACCCCAGCUGUUCUCAAGGAAUUGGCCAGAAGUCAGACUCCUUUCCCAGCUGUCCUCCACUUCUUUCCUGCCAGGCACCCUAGGCCCCAUGGUGGGAUUGGGCCUAUAGGCUGUGAUUUUCCACAUCCUUGUCAAACCUGUACUACCUGAAUGCCUAGAGGAAAAGAUACUGCCUUAAUUACUAUUAUGAGCACGAAUGCCUUCUUACUCUUGAAUUUAGCUGAGUGCUGCCUGCAGGUAAAGUCACCUGGAGAACCAUCCAGGGACUUUGUCCUCAUAGGAUCACUUGUACCUCUCUAGGGUUGCUGUGGCAGCUGCCAGAGUGGCCCGGGCCAUGGAUGAGGGCCAGGAUAUGGAAAGCAGAGGCAGAAAUGAGCCCAGAGGCCACAGGGCCCAGCUCUCAGGCUCCCACGGUGAAGCCCAGAGGGUUCCUUCUCUCUCCUGCUUCAGGCUGACAAUGUUUGUCAGCCUCUGCUCCCAACCCCUAUACCCAGCAACCUCUGCGCCCAAGCACAUGGUCUGAAGAAUAUUCUGGUGUUGGGCCCCUGUAGGUGGCCUGCCGUGACGGUGGAAGCCUGGAACGUAGUGACAUGGAUUCAUCAUUGGGAUGUUUCAUCCUAAGGAAACGCACUCGCAGGUGGCUGUAGACCUUGGGGACUCCAGCCUCGUUCAUUUAAGCUCCCACAAUGUUCCAGGCCCUAUGCGGCUUGCAAGGGGCAGAGAGACACAGAAUGACAGCCGACAUGGCACUCUAUUGGUGCACUGGCACUGUUUUUUUUUUUGAGAUGGAGUCUUGCUCUGUCACCCAGGCUGGAGUGCAGUGGCAUGAUGGAGAUGCAACCUCUACCUCAUGGGUUCAAGCGAUUCUCCUGCCUCA
rnacentral:lncRNA from 1 species